UCUGAAUGAGGUGGGGGAAAGGGGCAAGGAUUGCAGGCGGAGAGGGACAGGAUUUGACUCUCGGCUUCUGUGUUGGGAAGGGAGGCAGAGGACAGACACCACGCGUGCCUGGCACAGAGUAAACCCUUGGCGGCUGAGGUAGUCAGUGACACACCCCAUCCUUGGAGACCUCAGAGAGGCAUCUUUAUGGCUACCGUGUUCCACAGCCUUCUUUGUCUCAUCCUAUCGCAAAGAAACCAAUGCACAGAGAAGUUGAGGACACUGGGGUGCAGACAGCAGAAAUGACUUGCCUAACACCAAGGCCGGAGAGUGGCAGAGCAGAGGACCUACCUGUCUGCUGGACAUCAAGUCUGCCCCCCAGCUUCCAUCUGUCCACGCCCCCCCCGACCCCCCAACUUUCCCUGCAAGGGUUUGGAGCAGGGAGAAGGCAUCUGAAUCCUGAUUCUGUCUCCCUCCCUGAGGCCUCGCAUUCUGAUUCAGCCUCUCUUGGCCAAACCAGGAGGACCAACGAGUAAAUACCUAGUUUAUCACCUCAGUAAAUGCCAGCGGCAGUGCUGGGCCCUGGGGCUGGAGAAUCAUGGGAGUGGGAGUGGGGCACGGUGCCACGGCUCUGUGCUGGCGUUCCCUGAGUCAUCGGGCCCAGACACAAAGGGACCGCCGGCCCUGGCCACCCCGCUGUCAGAUGAGACGCUUCCUUCUGCUCUAAUGAGGGGUGUGCUCCGCGGAGGCCAGAGGCAGCCCCACUUGCUGGCUCUGGUCUCACCAGGCACUAAUGAGGCAUUUUGGAGCUUUGAGGUCAUAGGGACCCAGGGCCAGGGGGAGGGAUGAUAAGCUGGUAGGGGGGCUCAUCCUGGCUAGGGCAAGCAUCCUGACCCCCACAGAGGCAAUCACAGGGCACCAUCCUGGCAGACUUUGCAAAGGCAAGACAUGAUCAUUUAUCGUAAUAUCCGACCCACGCUCCUCAGAUUCCCAAACCAAUGGUUGUUGACCUUCUGGGAU